rnacentral:rRNA from 1 species
AGGGGUGGCUCGGCGUGUGACACACGGGGGAAUAGGUGUUGUAGGGGUAAGGAAGCGACCGGUCAGGUGACGGCGAGCCGGCCGAGCAGCCGAUCCGGCGGCGCGGUGGUAGCCUCGAAGUACCGGCGGCCGUGGAAGUUGGCAACGGUGUGUGGCGGACCCGAACGGGUGGAGGGCUAGGUCGGCCGUUUGCCUGCCUAGGCAGAAGGGGCACAGGCAGGAUCCGGAGAGACGGAACGGCCUCAGCAGUUCCGCGGCCGGGAGCAGGUGGUUCAGUUGACGUAGCGUGGGGACGAAGCAGAGCCCUCCUCGUCGCUCGGUCGCGGGUGGAGACGUAGCUCGUGACGAGUUAGGCCGGCGCUGCGGGUUCCGGGUCAGGCGGCGGCGGAACGAGGCGGAGGCCGGAGCGACCGGGAGCAGGUGGUUCAGUUGACGUAGCGUUGGGACGUAGUAGAGCCCUCCUCGUCGCUCGGUUGCGGG